AUUGGAGGUAAAACUUGUACUGCUUGUAUGCACCUGCCCCUUGUGCAGGAUGGCAGGAGCCAGUUUCCACCCAGGGGCAGUAAAUGGCUCCCAGGGGCUGGGCAGAGGGAGCACCCCAUGGGCAGCACCUCACCCUGCUCCCAGGGCAGGGCUCCGUGGGGUAACUGAAACACUGAAAUAAGCUUCCAAAAGUAAUGGCGGGUUUGUUUUUUGUUUGUUUGUUUGUUUGUUUGUUUGUUUUUUUGGCAGACUAUUUGCAGACAUCCAGAAGCUCAGUGUUUAAAGGGACAGUCCAGUAUCUAAGGAAAUAGCCAGUGUAAUCGGAUGUAAUCAUUGCUAUGGCAACAAUUGCUUCCAGAUCAGUGGAUAAAAUGCUUGCUUCAAACUUGUGUCUAUAACUUACAGCCGGAUGAUUUCUGCUCAAGCGCAGCCAGCAGUGUGGUGCCGCAGCAGAAGCUGUGCGUGCCGGCGCAGGGCUGGGUGGAAGUCGCUGGCUUGGCAAACGCGCUCUGCAGCGCCACUCACAUCCCUCCCGACUUUUACACAGAGUUUCACCUGCGGACUGAACUUGAAGAUCUUAAGCUCUCUUGGACGGGGAUGCAAAGGGCUGUGCAAGAAACACGAGAGAGAGAAGGAGAAACCUGUGACAAAUAUUAAAAGGAGGGAAUGCAUGAAGAUUUCUAAUGGUGGACAAGAUAUGUUCCUUCUCCUACAAUGGACAAAAGUGAGCAGAAAUCCAAGCCUUCAGUCCUGCAGCUGCAAACAGGGUGUGGAGGGGAUCCUGAGAUCAGCUGCAGAGCUCUUUGUCUGGGUUCCUGAGGAUGCUUUGAAGUGCAGCUAAGCAGGGCUGGCAGUUCUGCUUUGUGGUGCUACUGCCAGUUCUGCUCCUGUUCCUCCACCAUCUCUAAACAAUGCAUUUUGAAAAUUGACAGAUCUCUUUUAAGCAGAGCUUUAGCACUACUGGAUAUUGUGAAUUAAUGGUGGCAUGGGAUGAUGCUUUUUAUAUUUUGUCUUCAGUUUCUUGAUUAUUGUACUGAAAGCAAUCUGCAGAUUUUAAAUUUGAGCUGAUGGAUGAAACUGUACAGCUGAAGAGACACAGCACAUGUGACAGGUUUGCAAUAGGUUUGUUCAUCUUCCUAAGCUAAAUGACUGAACAUCAGCCAGUAGUGAAAUGGCAUUAAAGGUCUAGGUCCAGUGAGCUGGCAAAGAGAUAUUCCCUGAGAUACUAAGAGAUGGGAGGUUUUUGGUAGGAAUUAUUGUACUAUUAAUCUGCAAAUGUUAUGGCAAUAGGUCUAGUGCCUCUUCUUUGGGGACUCAAAUAGAAGGAUUUAAUUGUUCUAUUUUAAUUCAUUCCAUGUCUCAGCCUAACAUAUAGAAUUUGGAGAGAAUAAGAAUGGAUGAAUCAAGUUUUAUUAUCUUCUUCUACAUUGGCAGGUAUCCUAUAAUGGAAUUUAUUUUUGUCAGCAGCCUCAAAUCUAAACUUGAUUUUUAAUGUUUUCAUUGGAUGAAAAUGCAAUUGACAGGGAGAAAUAUUGUCUGAAAGAAAGUUGAAACUUACUACUGGAAAAAAAUUAAUGCUGUACACAGAAGGAAAAAGCAACAAAACUCCAGUAGGACUACAUGUUAAAGAAAAUGCUAUCAGAUUAAAAGGAAUUUCUUAAAAAAUUAACCUACAGAUGUGGAAUUUCCAUGUACUGACUUCACACGCA
rnacentral:lncRNA from 12 species